CUGGCGGUAGCUCAACUGGAUAGAGCAGCGGCCUUCUAAGCCGCAGGUCGGGGGUUCGAGUCCCUCCCGCCGGGCCA
rnacentral:tRNA from 1 species